GAUGAACGCUGGCGGCGUGCCUAAUACAUGCAAGUCGAGCGAACAUACGAGGAGCUUGCUCCUCUGACGUUAGCUGCGGACGGGUGAGUAACACGUUGAUAACCUACCUAUAAGACUGGGAUAACUUCGUGAAACCGGAGCUAAUACCGGAUAAUAUAUUUAACCGCAUGGUUCAAUAGUGAAAGACGGUUUUGCUGUCACUUAUAGAUGGAUCCGCGCCGCAUUAGCUAGUUGGUAAGGUAACGGCUUACCAAGGCAACGAUGCGUAGCCGACCUGAGAGGGUGAUCGGCCACACUGGAACUGAGACACGGUCCAGACUCCUACGGGAGGCAGCAGUAGGGAAUCUUCCGCAAUGGGCGAAAGCCUGACGGAGCAACGCCGCGUGAGUGAUGAAGGUCUUCGGAUCGUAAAACUCUGUUAUUAGGGAAGAACAAAUGUGUAAGUAACUAUGCACGUCUUGACGGUACCUAAUCAGAAAGCCACGGCUAACUACGUG
rnacentral:rRNA from 1 species